rnacentral:lncRNA from 1 species
CAUUAAUCACGCACACACUUACUCCUGAGGGCUGAGACAAAGUCUGCUGCAGGACCUUGAGGCUGCUUUGGGGGGCUGAAGCCGAGAUACGGAUUUAAGAAGCAGGGCAACUGCAGGACACUGGGACGUAUUUCCACAACAUUCCUGCCAUGCCUGUAAUCGGUACCAGCACCAUCUAAAGAUGUGCCUAAUAUGCAGUUCAGACUGACGACUUCCCUAGCCAAAAAACCCUUGACCGUCUAGAUAAUUUCUUCUUAUUGGCAUCCCAUUCAUCACUUACAGCCUCACUGGGCGUUGUUGCCAGUUGAUGAUACAGAGCAUUCAAACUCAGGAAUUCAUUCAUCCAUCUGAUACAUAUAUAGUGAGCUCCAGCUCUGUGCCAGGAAUUGUUUACUGCACUGGGGAUACUGUAGUGAACAGAAGAAAGUCCCUG